rnacentral:rRNA from 1 species
GUGGGGAAUCAUGGUCAAUGGGCAAAAGCCUGAACCUGCGACGCCGCGUGAGUGAUGAAGGUCGUAAGAUCGUAAAACUCUUUUCAGGGAUCUUAAAGCUUUUCUGUCAACAACAGAAAAGUGUGACUCUCCCUGGAAUAAGCCCCAGCCAACUACGUGCCAGCAGCUGCGGUAAUACGUAGGGGGCGAGCGUUAUUCGGAAUUACUGGGUGUAAAGGGUAUGUAGGCGGCCUCACAAGUCGCAUGUAAAAGUCCAGAGCUUAACUCUGGGUUCGCAUGCGAUACUGUGAUGGCUUGAGGGCUGGAGAGGUGAGCGGAAUUCCCGGUGUAGUGGUAAAAUACGUAGAUAUCGGGAGGAACACCAGCGGCGUAGGCGGCUCACUAGACAGUUUCUGACGCUAAGAUACGAAAGCGUGGGGAGCAAACAGGAUUAGAAACCCGGGUAGUCC